GACUUGGUGGGGCUGGAGGCUGGGGAGCGGGGGUUCCUCCUCUCCCGUCUCACGCGUUUAAGUCAGACGGCGACCCGGGAGAGGAGGAGCUGGUGCACCCCAUGCCACCGCUGGGGAAACUGAGGGCAGGAGUCUGGGUGGGGUGGCUUCAGUGUGGCACGGAAAUCCGGCAGCCACGCAGGAUGGGAACUCUCGGCGGCGUCUGUUUACAGUUAGUGAGCCCUCCCUCCCCACUCAUUUGCCUGCACAGCGACUUUCCGGAGCCCGAGGGCGGGGCCUGGGGGGCGGAGAGGAGGCGGCUUCCCGUCCUCACCCCUGGCAGCUCGCCUCAGCCCCCGACGGCUCUCCUGUGUCGGUGGGAAGAGUUGGGGAGAGGGUGGAACCAGAAGCACCCGUCUUAACCCCUUUCAGCAGUGACUUCAUUUCUUCCCUCCCCCAGCAGCUGAGAGGGUUCUUGGAGCUCACUAGAGCCAUUUUAUGGGAGACUCCACAGACCUGGGUCGUGUGACUUGGACAAGGUCACACAGCUAGUAUGUGGCGCGCACCUGAGCCUGGGACUGAGAUUUGUCUUAUUCCAAAGCCGGUCUUCCCUUCUUGCCCUGUGCGGAACUCUUGUCCAUACUUAGGGCGUUGGAACCACGAGCAGGCGGUUCUUCAUGGCCUGCCUGUCCACUACUGGCUGUAUGGACGUUUCUUUGUCUUGCCUUUCAUCUACUUUAAACUCUUUGAUGCAGAGACUGAGUCAUACUUUUUUUUUUUUUUUUGAGACAGUGUCGCUCUGUUGCCCAGGCUGGAGUGCAAGUGGUGCGAUCUUGGCUCACUGCAACCUCCGUCUCCUGGGUUCAAGCGAUUCUCCUACCUCAUCCUCCUGAGUAGCUGGGACUGCAGGCGCCCGCCACCACGCCUGGCUUAUUUUUGUAUUUUUAGUAGAGACGGGGUGUCACUAUGUUGGCCAGGCCGCUGGUCUCGAACUCCUGACUUCAAGUGAUCCGCCCUCUUCGGCCUCCCAAAGUGCUGGGAUUACAGGCCUGAGACACUGCACCUGGCCAAGUCAUGCAUUUUUUUUUUUUCUGCAUUCACUAGAAAGACAGUAGACAUGAAAAAGACACUAAAUGUUUAAUCGUUGACAUGGACGUGUAUCCUGCUGCCUGACCUUUAUCUGCCCUGUCCCCAACCCCAUACGACACACCCCGCCUAGACUGUCGCCCGCAAUACCUCAUUUUAUCUCAGCUUUAGCUUUUAAGGGCCUCCCUCUCACCCACUGCCUUAACUUCCAUGCUGACUUCCUUUUCUGAACUUCUGUAGUAGUAUCAUUUGCUCUAGUCAUUUUGCACUUACAUGUGAUAUAUAUAUAUAUAUAUAUAUAUUCCGAAUACAUUCACUGGUAAAUGCUCUCCUAUAAUGACUCUGCAUCUCCAGCACCUAGAAUAAUGUUGUACAAGUACUGUAGUAGGCGGUUUAAAAUAAAAAAAUGUUGCUCGUGAAUGAACAAUUUUUUAAGCCGUUAAGAAAGCCGUUUGUGGCGGGGCGCUGCUGUAGCCCAGCUACUCGGGAGGCCUGCUUGAGCCCGGGAGUUCCAGGCUGCAGUGAACUAUGAUCGCCACUACACUCCAGCCUGAGAGACACAGCAAGAGGGAACCCAAACUUUUCUAUCUAUCCCGUCUCCACUCUAAUCCAUAGCCCUACCCUCCAUACGGUAGACUCUGGACCAUUCAGUAAGAAUAACGUAACUUUUCAGAUCAUGGUCCAGCCUAAUCAAUAUCCUGACACUGACAGAAACAGAAGUGUAAUGUAGUGAGGUUGACUGAGUUGCCAUUCAUCGCCUACUUCCAAGCCCCAUCUCCAAAGCAGUAGAGAAAUUUGGAAUACAUGAUAAUCCAAUAGAAAGGAUCUCUUUCAUCCUAGAUGAAUCAGAUAGACACAUUCUCAGGUAAAAUGGUCCCUGUU
rnacentral:lncRNA from 10 species